CCUUUGUAUUUAAAAUCUUCCUGAAGUGGUGCAUUGGGUUUUUAAUAACUCUCAUGACAGCAAAGCCAAUCAGAAGACCCGUCAUUGGCCUGUUUUCUGUAGUCUUUGACAUUAUAUUAUUUCCAAUGAUAGACACUCAGAACCUUAAAGCAGCUUUAAUUCAAUGAGUUUACCUGGGGUGAGGAAGCAGUAGCUGCUGCCAAGCUUUCUGCAGAAGAGGUUACAGCAGGAGAAUGACACAGCACUUUAAGGACUCUAGAGAAACAAAGAAACCUCUGCUUCCUUUGUAGAGCACAGGAGAGGAAUGAAGGGAUGAAAAGAGUUGGCAUGCGAGACGGGUAAGAUGGAGCCCCCAAUCUCACAGGAGCUUUUGAUCUACACGGGGACAAGAGAGAUGUGAACAAACAUAACACAGACAGUGGAAGAAGUGGAGCUUUAAGGAAGCUGGAGCCAAGGUUGAAUGCAGGUGCUUUGAUCUGGACUGUUUUGCUGAAAGGUUUCCAGUUGCCUAUGGUGGUAGUAAGAAGAUGCUAAAAUAACUAACUAAAUAAAAGCCAUAGAUCAUUUAAGUCAUCAAAUCUCAACCAGGCCAAUCAAAACAACCAUAAAGACACAUCGAGAUGAAACUUCAAAUACUGUGGCACAGCUGUGGACUACGAAGAAACAAAGAACUAAACUCAGAUCAGAACAGUUGUUAAAAUAGAAUAAUAUGUCUGUGUCUCGGAGACUAAAAUACGCCUGGCACCAACAGAAGUACUGAGUAUUGAAAGUUGAGACAAGUCACUCAUGACUUUUAUGGACUGGUGGUGAAGACAGGCAGUGAUUGAUACAUUACGAAGUGGUCAGAUUCAGAACAGAAUUACUCACAGAAUUCUACGGAAAGACAGAAGAUAGAGCCCUAAAUCCAGCCUGAAAGAAUCAUGACAAACUUCCUAGAAGACACCUGGGCUGAAUCUUAAAGGAAUGACCUAAUUGUCAAGAGGGUAACAUGUUUUGAGAGUUGCCAUUGGAAUAGAAGUCCCUAAGCUUCCUUGGCUUGUCAGCCUCAUUCCCUUCUGUCCGGCUUUCUCCUCAGCCACAUAACAUCACUCUCCCACCCAAUUUUUAAGUUCAUAUUUUUUUAAAUAGGCAAAGAUUUCUCUCCUUUAGGCAACCACUUGAAAACACCUAGUAAAAAAUUCUGAUUUGCCUGGCUUGAAUUUCCUUGGAAAUACUUAGUCCAAUCAUUUUGGCUGAGGUAAUGGUGUUUUCUGAUUGGUCUAGUUUGACUCAUCCAAUCUGCCUGGAAUGCUGGUUAUCUAAGCAACUUCUAUUUAAAACCUACAGAAGGAGAAAAGCAUUUAACAGAUGAUGCAGAAAAGACUGUUGAUCAGAUUGAAUAGUUGACACUUCUAGGGACUAUCAUUCAACCUACCAGUAGCAAAAAGGAAUUACCACUCUGUGGAUACAUUUCAGGUCAUGCUUGCCUAAUGAAAGACUGUAAGUCAAAAAGAAAUAAACAUUUGCUGAGUUACAUUUUGGGCCAACCCUUUGGGAGGUGCUUUUCUUUCACUAUCUCAUAAAGCUUCUCACUACAACCUUUAGAGACAGGUACUAUUUUAAGUAUGAGGAACGUAGAGGUUAAGUAACUCUUAGAAGAUCAUAUGGAUUUGGAAAUCACAGAGAUUUAAUUCGUUUUUAAUUAGCAUUCCAUCUUCCUCCCACUGUACCAUGUGGGAUCUUUGGAAAACAAUAUUUGUAGCACAAUGCAUCAUCUUCCAAAUGAACAGAGGUGUGCAGAUAAAUAGGAGCUUCGUUUUGUUUUAUUUUUUUGCUGACUUUAUGAUAAGAUGGUUUUCUUUCUUCAAAUUUUAAUGUGCUGCGUCAGACGAAAAUAUAUAAUGAGUGCUUUGGAUUUUCUGUCUUUUGGGCUGAUUCUGUAAAAUGUGUCACAUCUCUCUUCCUUAGAGAGAGUAAUCAAUGGGGUGCAUUGUGAUUUCCACAUAAUAUCAUCCCCAGGACCAUUUCUCUUUAGGCACACAGUGUAGGGAUGGAAAGGGGAUAGAAGGGGUGCUUGUAAAUUUCUGCAUUCAUAUUGAACAUUUUCCCAAUAGGAUGGUACAGAAAAUGUCAAUAAUUAAUUGGGAAAUAUUUGUUUAUCUUUAUGGAGAGAUUUUGUUAUUAAGCUUAGAUAAAACAUUUUUUGGAAGGGUCAUUGUCCCUGGCUCUCUAACUGUGGACUGGCAGAAUACGGGGUGUGUUGGGUGUGGUGCUGCAAAGACAACGUUUAGAUCAUUUCGUGGGAGGCCAAUCACUACUCCUUAGGGUGCCCUAUUGCUCAUUUCAUUAGCACAGCACAGGGUUCCCUAGGAAUUAUAUUUUUCCCUCUCUCCGGUAAACAUUAAACUUAGUUACAGAGAUGAGCGAGAUGUAUAAAUAGAGGGGAAAAGGUGUUUCUCAUUUUAUUACUCUUUUGUGUAAUAGUAGUAAAAGUUUUGUAGGGAGUAUUGUAUACAGUAAAACAAUCAUUUGUCAAUGGGUAAACUUACUGAACACCAACGUCUGCUUUUAAAAGAUCCCUUGUGUGUCAUGAACUACACAGUGUUCAUAAAAAGUUGUACUCCAGGGUUACAUAUUCUUGUUUCCUCAAUUACUGGAGUUUCCUGAAAUCUCCAAGGAAAGAGGAUUAAACAUUUAUUGUCAGGAAGCACCAGGUUUCACUUCGUCCUGUGCUUUGACACAUUCAUUAUCCCAGACUUUAAAUUUUCGAUUACAGAAUCCAUAAAGUACCACCAACACACACAUACACACACAAAUAAACACAUAAACACACAAACAAUCACAAAAUAGUUAAAAGUGGUGAAUUUUAAAAAGGCAAAAAAAGGGCAAGGACCAGUUUUGAUGACUCUAUUCUUAGUCUCUCAUGUUAGUUUUACCAUUACAGACAGUAUGUCUCCUUGAGGAAUACCUGGGGUUAUAUUUG
rnacentral:lncRNA from 10 species